UACGUAGGGCGCAAGCGUUGUCCGGAAUUAUUGGGCGUAAAGAGCUCGUAGGCGGCUUGUCACGUCGGAUGUGAAAGCCCGAGGCUUAACCUCGGGUCUGCAUUCGAUACGGGCUAGCUAGAGUGUGGUAGGGGGAGAUCGGAAUUCCUGGUGUAGCGGUGAAAUGCGCAGAUAUCAGGAGGAACACCGGUGGCGAAGGCGGAUCUCUGGGCCAUUACUGACGCUGAGGAGCGAAAGCGUGGGGAGCAAACAGG
rnacentral:rRNA from 1 species